rnacentral:rRNA from 1 species
UACGGAGGGGGCUAGCGUUGUUCGGAAUUACUGGGCGUAAAGCGCACGUAGGCGGCUUUGCAAGUUAGAGGUGAAAGCCCGGGGCUCAACUCCGGAAUUGCCUUUAAAACUGCAUCGCUAGAAUUGUGGAGAGGUAAGUGGAAUUCCGAGUGUAGAGGCGAAAUUCGUAGAUAUUCGGAAGAACACCAGUGGCGAAGGCGACUUACUGGACACAUAUUGACGCUGAGGUGCGAAAGCGUGGGGAGCAAACAGG